rnacentral:rRNA from 1 species
AUGCCUAACACAUGCAAGUCGAACGGUAACAGGUCUUCGGAUGCUGACGAGUGGCGCACGGGUGAGUAACGCGUGGAUAUCUGCCUAUGAGUGGGGGACAACUUUCGGAAACGAAAGCUAAUACCGCAUAAUCUCUACGGAGCAAAGCAGGGGACCUUUCGGGGCCUUGUGCUUAUAGAUGAGUCCGCGUCAGAUUAGCUAGUUGGUGGGGUAAGAGCCUACCAAGGCGAUGAUCUGUAGCUGGUUUGAGAGGAUGAUCAGUCACACUGGAACUGAGACACGGUCCAGACUCCUACGGGAGGCAGCAGUGGGGAAUUUUGCACAAUGGGGGAAACCCUGAUGCAGCGAUGCCGCGUGUGGGAAGAAGGCCUUUGGGUUGUAAACCACUUUCAAUUGGGAAGAAGGGAUGAGGAUUAAUAAUCCUCUGACUUGACGGUACCUUUASAAGAAGCACCGGCUAAUUUCGUGCCAGCAGCCGCGGUAAUACGAAAGGUGCAAGCGUUGUUCGGAUUUACUGGGCGUAAAGAGAUCGUAGGUGGUUUGUUAAGUUGGAUGUGAAAUCCCGGGGCUCAACCUCGGAACUGCAUCCAAAACUGGCAGACUUGAGUUCGGGAGGGGUAAGCGGAAUUCCGUGUGUAGCAGUGAAAUGCGUAGAUAUACGGAGGAACACCUGAGGCGAAGGCGGCUUACUGGACCGAUACUGACACUGAGGAUCGAAAGCGUGGGUAGCAAACAGGAUUAGAUACCCUGGUAGUCCACGCCCUAAACGAUGUCAACUAGCCGUUGCGGGUAUCGACCCCUGCAGUGGCGCAGCUAACGCGAUAAGUUGACCGCCUGGGGAGUACGGU